GGAUAAACCGCGAUAGGCCAAGAUUUCUGGAAUGGAUCAUGGCUGAAAUCUAUAUGGCCCUUGGAUUGGACUGCGGCCGAUCAGGCUGUUGGUGAGGUGAUGGCCCACCAAACCUAUAACCGGUACGGGCUUUGAGAGAAGGAGCCCGGAGAUGGGCACUGAGACAAGGGCCCAGGCCCUAUGGGGCGCAGCAGGCGCGAAAACUCUGCAAUAGGCGAAAGCUUGACAGGGUUACUCUGAGUGAUGUCCGUUAAGGGCAUCUUUUGGUACCUCUAAGAAUGGUGCAGAAUAAGGGGUGGGCAAGUCUGGUGUCAGCCGCCGCGGUAAUACCAGCACCCCGAGUGGUCGGGACGAUUAUUGGGCCUAAAGCAUCCGUAGCUUGUCCUGCAAGUCUUCCGUUAAAUCCACCUGCUCAACAGAUGGGCUGCGGAGGAUACUACAGGGCUAGGAGGCGGGAGAGGCAAGCGGUACUCAGUGGGUAGGGGUAAAAUCCUCUGAUCCACUGAAGACCACCAGUGGCGAAGGCGGCUUGCCAGAACGCGCUCGACGGUGAGGGAUGAAAGCUGGGGGAGCAAACCCGGAUUAGAUACCCCGGGUAGUCCCCAGCUGGUAAACGAUGCAAACUCCGGUGAAUGGGGUUGGGCUUCCAAGCCAACCCAGUUGCCGGCAGGGGAAAGCCCGUUAAAGUCUGCCCGCCCGGGGGGAGUACCGGUCCGCAAAGACUGGAAACUUUAAAGGGAAUUUGGGCGGGGGGGAGCCAC
rnacentral:rRNA from 1 species